UGAUGUCGUGGUUCUGUCUCGACAGGUGGC
rnacentral:piRNA from 1 species